CCUUCGAUAGCUCAGUUGGAAGAGCGUGAGACUGUAAUGGCUAACGUACACAAUACACAUUGUAUCUCAAGGUCACUGGUUCGACCCCGGUUCGAAGGA